rnacentral:lncRNA from 1 species
AUUCGGCUUCUACCCGUUCUCUCGCCGCACAAUGGCCCCUACGGAUCCCGAGGUCUCCUGGAGCCCCCAAAAGCCCUUCCCGGCCUCUGCGCCCCCUCUGCGCCCCCACCCGCCCCAGGUCCCAGCAGCCCACAGACUUCAGCCAGAGACCCUCAGCUCUCCAUUCACGCGCUCUCCUCUCCCUUGGCCCGGAGACCCCUGCCCAGACUUCUCCAGCUCCGUGUCCUCUCCCCACCGGACACAUGUCUCCCCACUGAUCUCAAACGCCAGGGCCCCUCCUCACCCGCCACGGUGCCCUCCCUACUCCAGCGCGGGCCCCCAACUCUAGCCAGGGCCCCCAACUGCAGCUCUAUUCCUUACAAACUCCACCCUCAAACUUAAGCCCUGGUCCCCUCCAGACCCCAGCCGCGCCCCCAGUCUCCAGGCGGCUCCCCCACCCCCAUCCCGUCUCCAGCCCUCCUCACUCACCCGUCUGUUCCCGGCCGGUAAAACUCCACUGAGAAUCCGAAGAAGGAGCCCGGGGGCCCCGAGAGUACUGCUGGGGCCUCCGCGUCUAAGUUGAAGCCCCCGACCCUGGGUGGCGGCGGCAGCAGCAGCAACAGCAGCGGCAGCAGCGGGGGUCGGCGCCGGGGGCCCCAGCGCAGCUGCACGGCGUGGAGAGGGGACUCUGGCGUCCGGCUCCCCAUAGCGCCCGCUCUUCCCUGUCCUGGGGCCACCGACCCGGAGCCGCUUCCUAAACCUCCCAGAGGCGAAUGACUCAACGCGGGGAGGAGUUUGCCAAACUCCCGGCUGAGCCCUCCCCCCGCCUGCCGAGGGGGCUGGCGGGGGGGCAUUCCUGGGUCCCUGGAACUCUGAGCCCGCGUCCCCCACCCCUAAGGGGCGUGGGGGGGGGGCGCACCCCUCCAACCCCCUUUCCCCAGCCCCAGCUGGAAGCCGGUUGUCUGGACUGGGUUAGACUGGGCGGGUUUGGGUUCUUCCCCCUCCUCUCUGCUUCCCCCUCCUUCCUCCCCAUUCCUUUCCAGAUGUACAACGUAAACGCUCGGAAAACGAGUCGGAAAAGGGAGCGGAGAAUUUCCUAAUGAGGAAAGGAAUCACCUCUGGUGGGCGGAGGAAGCCUGUAUAUGUGUGUGGGGUCUCCCUCAGUGCUUUAGGGAGGAGACUUUGGGGUCUAAAGAGACAGGAGACUCCUCUGGCGUCCGGCCAACUGGGAUUCCCCCUUGCCUUCCGGGGCCGCCGGGUGCCUGGGUUCUGGCCAGCUGGAUUUGGGACACAACAGUUGAGGUACAGAGACAGCGUUCGCAGUCAGCUUGCUAGAGGACCUACACGGGCUCCUCAAGUUCCGCUGCUUCCUCCUCCAAGCUUGCUAGUAUUGAAAACCCAGGAGUUUGGGGUCAUUCAUCAGGAGGAUUCUGCUCCAGUUUGCCCCCUUCUUGGUCCUAGGAUACUGGAGGGCCAGAGAAAGCAAGCUUGAAACAGAGAGGAACGGGUCACUUUGGUGGAGGAAAUUGGGCCACCAAGCAGCCCUAUGGAGAGGCCAAUGUGGAGAGAAACUGAGGCCUUCCACCAAAAGCCAGCACCAACUUGCUAUCCAUGUGAGUGAACCAGCUUGCAGUACAGAGUGGUCAACCCCAGUCAAGCUUUCAGAUAACUACAAGCCUAGUUGACAUCUUGACUACAACUUCAAGAGAGACAUCAAGGCAGAACUGCUUCGCUAAACUGCUCUUGAAUUCUUGACCCACAGAAACUGAGAGAGAGAAUAAAUAUUUAUUGUUGUUUCAAGUAA